GCGCGACCUUGGGGCCGUCCCGGGCCGUGAUUUGGGGGGUGCGGCGUGGCCGGCUGUGCGGCGGCGGAAGAGCCGAGGACACAAACAUACUCCUGUGUGGCUGUCAGCCACCACUGGCUGAAAUAGAUGGGAGUCCUCCAUGCGGCAGGAAUUAAUUUGAUUUGUUAUGAAGAAAUGGCAGAAUGGUGUCUGAAGUUGCAUCCAUUAAACAGAAUAUAGACU